UUUUUAAAAAGAUUUUUAAAGUGUUUUAAAAGAUUUACAAGUGAUUUUAUAAGGUUUUAAAGGAUUUACAAGAGAUUUUUAAAGGGUUUAAAAAUGUUUUAAAAGAUAUACAAGGGUUUUUAGAAGAUUUUUAAAGAAUUUACAAGAAGACCCUUUAAAAACUCUUUUAAAAUCCCUUGUAAAUCUUUUAAAACCCCUUUAAAAUCUCUUAUAAAUAUUU
rnacentral:sRNA from 1 species